GAUGAACGCUGGCGGCGUGCUUAACACAUGCCAGUCGAACGAAGCACUUUAUUUGAUUUCCUUCGGGACUGAUUAUUUUGUGACUGAGUGGCGGACGGGUGAGUAACGCGUGGGUAACCUGCCUUGUACAGGGGGAUAACAGUUGGAAACGGCUGCUAAUACCGCAUAAGCGCACGGCAUCGCAUGAUGCAGUGUGAAAAACUCCGGUGGUAUAAGAUGGACCCGCGUUGGAUUAGCUAGUUGGUGAGGUAACGGCCCACCAAGGCGACGAUCCAUAGCCGACCUGAGAGGGUGACCGGCCACAUUGGGACUGAGACACGGCCCAAACUCCUGCGGGAGGCAGCAGUGGGGAAUAUUGCACAAUGGGCGAAAGCCUGAUGCAGCGACGCCGCGUGAGCGAAGAAGUAUUUCGGUAUGUAAAGCUCUAUCAGCAGGGAAGAUAAUGACGGUACCUGACUAAGAAGCACCGGCUAAAUACGUG
rnacentral:rRNA from 1 species